UACAGAGGUCCCAAGCGUUGUUCGGAUUCAUUGGGCGUAAAGGGUGUGUAGGUGGCGCCGUAAGUCGGGUGUGAAAUCUCGGGGCUUAACUCCGAAACUGCAUUCGAUACUGCGGUGCUUGAGGACUGGAGAGGAGACUGGAAUUCAUGGUGUAGCAGUGAAUUGCGUAGAGAUCAUGAGGAAGACCAGUGGCGAAGGCGGGUCUCUGGACAGUUCCUGACACUGAGACACGAAGGCCAGGGGAGCAAACGGG
rnacentral:rRNA from 1 species